rnacentral:rRNA from 1 species
CCUACGGGAGGCAGCAGUGAGGAAUAUUGGUCAAUGGGCGUAAGCCUGAACCAGCCAUCCCGCGUGAAGGAAGAAGGCGCUAUGCGUCGUAAACUUCUUUUCCAGAGGAAUAAAAUUUCGUACGUGUACGGAACUGAAGGUACUUUGGGAAUAAGCAUCGGCUAACUCCGUGCCAGCAGCCGCGGUAAUACGGAGGAUGCGAGCGUUAUCCGGUUUUAUUGGGGCGAAGGGGUGCGAAGACGGCAUAGUAGAAAACCGUCAGCUUAACUGGAGAACUGCCAUUGAUACUGUUAGUCUUGAGUACGGUCAAGGUAGGCGGAAUGUGUAAUGUAGCGGUGAAAUGCUUAGAUAUUACACAGAACACCGAUUGCGAAGGCAGCUUACUGGGCCAUUACUGACGCUGAUGCACGAAAGCGUGGGGAGCGAACAGGAUUAGAUACCCGUGUAGUC